GCUGGGCAUGGUGGCGCAUACCUGUAGUCCCAGCUACUCAGGAGGCUGAGGCAGGAGAAUCACUUGAACCCGGGAGGUGGAAGUUGCAGUGAGUGAGAUCACACCACUGCACUCCAGCCUGGGCAACAGGGUGAGACUCUGUCUCAA
rnacentral:SRP_RNA from 1 species